ACCCAGCUGAACUGAUACACCUCUUUCAACCUUUGCUCAAGAUGCUUCCAUUGUGAUGCACUCCGCACUUUUCCAACAUGAUGUAAAAAUAAUCAAUACCAGAAUUAUUGGAUUGUACUAAGUAUCAGACAGGGCAUCAUGGGGAAUAUGCACCACAGAGUUAAUAUGGUUCUAAUUACAUAUUUGGUUAUGGCAAUGUCUGCACAUGAAUGUCUGACUUCUCAAGAAAAAAAAGCAACUUUUUCAUUAGAAAUUCAUCCACUGGAAAGUUCUUCAGAUGUCCAUCAGGAAAAUGCCACAGAAUCAACAGGAAUCAUCCACUCCGCCUGGCCUGCUGGACUCGGUGCUUUGACAGCAGUGCUUUCCAUCGGACUCCUUAUAGCACUGGCCGUGAGAUACCGUUUCUUCCGAUGGUGCCUGGCCGGAAACAGUCAGCACUUAUUACUGGAGGGAGAAACAGCCAGCCAGUUCAGUCAAGCCGGAGCCCUGGACGGAGAAAUGCCGGUGCGUGGCAUGAGGGGUAGAAUGAUACAUGGAGAAAGUUCAGAUAAUGAUGAGGAAGAUGGCUACAUAGAGGACAACUACAUUCAGGCAAGUGUGAGAGAGAGAGAAGAGGAAGAGGAAGAGGAAGAAGUGAACCAGCAGGAAGAUGCUGAAGACAGUGAUGAUGAACUAAUCAUUGCAGAAAUUAUAUAAACUCAUGUUAUGUCUAUGUACUGCUUUGUCCCCAUAAGUUUGGAAUUACUAUGACAUUAUUUAAAUGCUUUUAUUAACCCCGAAAUUCAUUAAAUUGCUGACAGUAUAGACAUUUAUAUUUUUACA